GCCUAAGUUAGCUUAGUUGGUAGUGCGUCUGCCUUGUAAGCGCUAGGCCGUGGGCUCGAUUCCCACCCGGGGCG
rfam:Asian citrus Psyllid, Diaphorina citri - Florida Strain, whole genome shotgun sequence.